GCAUGCCGGUGGCCUCAGCUGAUGGACGACGGUGGCCGCCGAGCGAUCGGCAGCAGGUAACAAGAGCAAAGGCUGCUGCUGAUGGUUGGGUUCCAGGACUAGGAAGGAACACUGAAGCUUAUACGUUUUAAAGGAUCAGUUUUGGUGUUCCAUCUUCUCUAUCAAAGCCAUAGGGCUUGAACCCGCUGCUCCGCUC